CACAUCUUUCUCAUUCCGCCUCGCCCAACAUACUUUCGUUAUAAAUCUCUCUCUCUCUCUCUCUCUCUCUCUCUCAUUAUCUUUUUCUUUGAAAGGUGAAGCAGUGAUGAAGAUCUAGCUGUGUACCGGAGACGGUCUCUAACGAUUCCGUCGUUGACGGCAACACAACCCUCUAAGAAGUUCUGAGCUUUACCUUUCACAGUUAUAUUGUGCUCCUUUUUUCUUCUUCUUGGUUUUUUUAAAGCUGAAAUCUUUUGUCUAUUGUGGAAAUAGUUAUGGUGGUGAGGUAAAUUGGCGAGGUGAUGAUAGAAAUUCAUAUCAAGUCUGUCAAUCCGCUGAACUAUAGUGUGACGACUCCAUGAAUCCCGACAGGUUCUGAUCGCUAUUUUAUGUCGCCACCGAUUUGAAUUUCUAGGGCACGGUUAUAGGUCUUAGCCAUACACUCAUACCCAAGUCCUUUCUAACCUAGCAAAACUAGGGUCCUAUUGUUGUGAUGCUUUUUUGUUUCUCUUUUUAAUUGAAGUGCUCUGUUUUUGCUGUGUUUAGAGUUUGGUUGGGCAAGUGAUGAAUCUCAUUGUAAUUUAAUGGGUAAUUUGCGUCUGAGAUCUUUCAUUGAUGCUUUAUCACCUUGGAGAACUGAUGCCCUCUUUUAUUUUGGGUGAGAUGCACUUUAAAUCUAAUACAAAACUUGUUCGGUUGCACAGAGGCACACGUCCUACGUAGUCUGCGAAGUGUACCUAACCCUCUUAUUUUGCAACUAUAUUGCGUGCAUUUUGAGGGAUGUCACUGAGCAAGAUUUGAAAGUCUUGACGGUAUAUGCAACUGAUGAAUUGUUUUGUUACCGUUUGUUUAUGUUGGUUGGUUGGUUGGUAUCGACCUGAAGAUCACCUGAAAUACUGCAUUGUGGCAGCCGAAAUGCAUAGGACGUGGGUGAGGAAUUGACGGUGCCUAGAUAGUGAUUAUCUGUGAUAUUAAUGUUUUGUUCAUCUAUUUGGUGGGGCAUAUGACGAAUAUAAGUGUUGUAAUGGGUAAUUUGCGUCUGAGAUUUACAGUGAUGCCAUUUCAUCUUAAAGAACUGAUGCCCCCCAUCUUUACGUCUAAGUAUUUUAAUCUGAUGUUAUUUUUGUCUGUCGUUCAGGUGAUAGAGCAUCAGGCUCUGUUUCUAUUUUUUGGAAAAUGAUUCAUCCAACAAAAGAUGCGUGUCAGUAAAAUCUGUUUUUUACUUAAUUGUUAAAGGAAGUUUUUAAAUGUUUUUGUGAAAUUUUUUAAAAUAUAUAAAGUGAUUUAAAAAAUAUAUAAAAUAAAAAAAAUGUAUUUUACAUUUCUCGUUAGAUUUCUUGAGACUACCUCUUGGUGGCAGUUUUUCAAGUAAUUUACUUUUAGAAAUGCCACUGCUACAUUCAUGAUGAGUGGAUUUUGAGAAAAGUUAUCAAAAUUUAUUUUUUUGUAUUAAAGUUUUUUUAAAGUUCUUAAAUAUUUUUAAAAAAUACUUCUUUAAUCAUUAAGUUAAAAAAAAAUUACAAUUGAGAUAUGUUUUUAGGAUCUAGUUUUGGUUGGAAUGUUAUUUUUGUUUGAGAAAUGUUGUGUUGUACCAUUUAUACGAAUUAUUGUCUCUGCAUGUUGUGUUAUGUGGUUUAUUAAAAAAAUAAAAACAUAUAUAUAAGAGAGUAUUGAGAUUUCUAAAGUUUAUUCUUAUCUAUUUUAUAUUUUUGAAUGUAGGUUUUUUUUAUUAUUUAUUUAAAUAAGCCAUGGUACCAAGUGGUGAGCUCUCAAGUUGCAGAGGCACACGGCCUACGUAGUCUGCGAAGUGUACCUAACCCUCUUAUUUUGCAACUAUAUUGCGUGCAUUUUGAGGGGUAUGUCACUGAGAAAGAUUUGAAAGUCUUGACGGUAUAUGCAACUGAUGAAUUGUUUUGUUACCGUUUGAUUAUGUUGGUUGGUUGGUUGGCUGGUAUCGACCUUAAAUUCUGCAUUGUGGUAGCCGAAUUGCAUAGGAUGUUGGUGAGGAAUUGACGGUGCCUAGAUAGUGAUUAUUUGUGCUAUUAAUGUUUUGUUCAUUUAUUUGGUGGGGAAUCGUGUUACC